CCCUUAGAUGUUCUGGGCCGCACGCGCGCUACACUGAUGCAUUCAACGAGUCUAAAACCUGCUCUGAUAGGGGUGGGUAAUCUUUUGAAUGUGCAUCGUGAUUGGGAUAGAUGAUUGCAAUUUUUCAUCUUCAACGAGGAAUGCCUAGUAAACGCAAGUCAUCAGCUUGCAUUGAUUACGUCCCUGCCCUUUGUACACACCGCCCGUCGCUCCUACCGAUUGAAUGAUCCGAUGCAUAUCAUGGAUUGAGGAUGCAAGUAGGUUCGCCUAUCUUCAUCUUCGAGAAGUGAAGUAAAUCUUAUCAUUUAGAGGAAGGAGAAGUCGUAACA
rnacentral:rRNA from 1 species